UACAGAGGUCUCGAGCGUUAGGCGGAAUCACUGGGCUUAAAGCGUGUGUAGGCGGAUUGGUAAGUACUUUGUGAAAUCCCACGGCUUAACCGUGGAAUUGCUUGGUAUACUGGAUGUCUUGAGCCAGCUAGGGGCAACCGGAACAAAUGGUGGAGCGGUGAAAUGCGUAGAUAUCAUUUGGAACGCCAAUGGUGAAAACAGGUUGCUGGGGCUGUGCUGACGCUGAGACACGAAAGCCAGGGGAGCAAACGGG
rnacentral:rRNA from 1 species